UAGGGAAUAUUGGGCAAUGGAUGCAAGUCUGACCCAGCCAUGCCGCGUGCAGGAAGAAGGUCCUCUGGAUUGUAAACUGCUUUUAUCAAGGGCGAAGAGAUUCCUUGCGAGGGAUUGUGACGGUACUUGAUGAAUAAGCACCGGCUAACUACGUGCCAGCAGCCGCGGUAAUACGUAGGGUGCAAGCGUUGUCCGGAUUUAUUGGGUUUAAAGGGUGCGUAGGUGGCCUAUUAAGUCAGCGGUGAAAGCUGGUUGCUCAACAAUCAGAUUGCCAUUGAUACUGAUGGGCUUGAGUGGAGUGAGAGUUCUUGGAAUGGAUGGUGUAGCGGUGAAAUGCAUAGAUAUCAUCCAGAACGCCGAUCGCGAAGGCAGAGGGCUGUACUCAAACUGACACUGAGGC
rnacentral:rRNA from 1 species